ensembl:lncRNA
GUUACACCCUGGCAUGGGGCAGAAAGAGGACAAGCUAAAAACAAAGGGUGAAAGAUAAAAGGCAGGAGGAGGAAGGAUAGGGUAAAAGAUAAAAAGGAGAAGAAAAGACACAAGGGGUAGGAAGUAGGAGAUGAAGUAGCAUGAAGAAAAAAGAAGAAAUGAACUGGCCACUCUCCAAAACCAUGAACAUAAAGAUGCAGAGUAAGGCGGCCAUUAAUAUGGAGCCUUGGGGAAUGCCUCUGGUACUGGUAAACACAUCCCACUGUCUGUCUGAGCUCUCUCAUCUGUGGCACUGCAUUGUAUACACCAUUGUUAUCCUUGUGGAAGACAGGAAAACUGUGAAUAUUCCCCUGACAUGACACUUGCACCUCAACAUUACCAAGAUGUUGGAAUGCUGAUCCCUGCUAUUACUAUUCUUAUUGGUUUGUGCAUCAGUACAUUUAUUUUCCGACCAUGGUAAUAUAUUUCAUGUAACGAUUAGACAUUCUGGACAGCUAAGUCAGUGAGGGGGUGGAGGUGAGAGGUUAAGGGAAUAAAUCAAUAGCUGACAUGUUAGAAAAUACACUUUGCUGUUUGAUGCUUUCUUGUUAAGAGCAACUGCAGGGAAAUGACUAAUACUCCGAAGCUACACUUAGGUCAGUAGGUUUUGGGGCAAUUUUUGUAAUUGGGCUUUUUUUUUUUUUUUUUUGUAAUUUUGCUUCUGUACACCACCACAGAGAAUUUGAAAUCAAGCAAUGAAGAUAUGACUUUCAUCUUAAUUCCAGAGGUUUAAGAAAGAAGUUGCAUUAACUCUUUAAGAAUUGUGUUGGAAUGCACUGGACAGCUCAACAACAUCAAAAGGCCUGAAAGACCACAGAAGACAAAGUGGAUGAUCACAUAAUUCCUUCCUUGUUUAUGGAAAACUUUUGACAACAUCUAGCCACUUUAAGAAAACAGUUGAAGAACAUAGGCAUGUCUUAGUGAAGCACUGAAGAGACAAAGAGACACUUUCAUAAAUGUAAAGAUAUUUUAUAAAAAGGUAUAAAACCUCUAGUUACACUCAAGAAGAUUAAUUUGUAUGGGAAGAGAAAAGUCCACAAAGGACAAAUGCAGGAUUAUGAUGAAAAGCUUACCACGGUCACCUGUCUGCAGUGACAGAAGCAAUCUUAUUCAUGGCAAUGGGUAACACUACAGGGAGUGCAGAAUUAUUAGGCAAAUGAGUAUUUUGUCCACAUCAUCCUCUUCAUGCAUGUUGUCUUACUCCAAGCUGUAUAGGCUCGAAAGCCUACUACCAAUUAAGCAUAUUAGGUGAUGUGCAUCUCUGUAAUGAGAAGGGGUGUGGUCUAAUGACAUCAACACCCUAUAUCAGGUGUGCAUAAUUAUUAGGCAAUGUCCUUUCCUUUGGCAAAAUGGGUCAAAAGAAGGACUUGACAAGCUCA